AUGAAAUGGAGCUGCAUCAUCCUCUUGCUGGUGGCAGCAGCUACAGGUGUUCACUCCCAGGUCCAGCUGCAGCAGUCUGGGCCUGAGCUGGUGAGGCCUGGGGCCUCAGUGAAGUUGUCCUGCAAGGCUUCUGGCUACGCCUUCACUAGCUACCCUAUCAACUGGGUGAAGCAGAGGCCUGGACAGGGCCUGGAGUGGAUUGGAUGGAUUGGUACUACAAGUGGUAAUACUGGCUAUGCACAGAAUUUCCAGGGCAAGGCCACACUGACUUUAGACAAAUCCUCCAGCACAGCCUACAUGGAGCUCAACAGCCUGGCCUCUGAGGACUCUGCUGUCUAUUACUGUGCAAGACACACUGUAUCAGUUCCUUGGUGGAAUCUUUGGGGUCGCUCAAGUAUACUAUCAUGUCAUCUGCAAAUAGGGAAAGCUUGACUUCUUCCUUUCCAAUUUGUAUCCCCUUAAUCUCCUUAUGUUGUCUUAUUGCU